ACAAACUGACUCUGCAUCUUUCUAUGUAAUAUCAAUUUCCCAACGCGGUAUCCUGCAUAUCCUCCCUCACCUCGUAUCGGAAUUUUACUUAUUUCUCACACUUGACGUGUAUUACAUAACGCGUUUUACUUCCUUGUUAUUAACCUCUGCAGUAUAUCACAAUUUUUUGUCUUUUAUCUAUCCUAAUCAUAUCUUUACUACAUUGUAAUAUUGAAUCAGUAUUUUCCCCUCCCCUUCAUUCCAUCUUCUAGCUCCCACCUCUCCGUGGACUCACUUUCAUAGUAGUUUUCUGCAUUUCUUGAUGCACAUGGUUAAAUACUUAUCGUCCUAUGCUUUAUUACAACUCCGUACCAUAAGUUUCUGGGGUUUAAUUUUCCUGCAACGGUGUGCACCCCUUUUUUAUUAGUCGCGCAGCACUAUAUUGUGGGACUUUUAGAAAGAAUGCCUACCCCAUUAGAGAGGAAGGAGGGGAUGACGUCAAGUCAUCAUGGCCCUUACGCCCAGGGCUACACACGUGCUACAAUGGCGUAUACAGAGUGUUGCAAGCUAGUGAUAGCAAGCCAAUCACAAAAAGUACGUCUCAGUUCGGAUUGCAGGCUGCAACUCGCCUGCAUGAAGUUGGAAUCGCUAGUAAUCGCGUAUCAGCAAUGACGCGGUGAAUACGCUCCCGGACCUUGUACACACCGCCCGUCAAGCCAUGGAAGUCGGGAGGACCUGAAGGCAGUUGCUGUGAGGCGCUGUUUAGGGUUAAACUGAUAACUAGGGCUAAGUCGUAACAAGGUAACCGUAAAGGGCGAAUUCGGAGCCUGCUUUUGANCAAGUGCAUAAACNNNNNNNCCCCCGG
rnacentral:rRNA from 1 species